AGGUCAAAAGCUCGAACAGGUUACUGGUUUUGGGGUUUUUUUCAAGUUAAUAAGUUACUUUCAGGGAAGAAAGAAGGACUAGGAUCAGGGGUUUGACUUCAGAGAAUAGAGUGCCAGGACCAUUCAUAGGGGAACAAGUCUUUUCAACAACUGCACCUGGACAACUGGACAUCCAUCUGCCAAAGAAUGAAGCUGGACUUCUACAAUGCACAAUAUGCAAAAAUGGAUCAAAGACCUAAAACUGUAAGGCACUUAAAA